CCUACGGGUGGCAGCAGUGGGGAAUAUUGGACAAUGGGGGGAACCCUGAUCCAGCCAUGCCGCGUGUGUGAAGAAGGCCCUCGGGUUGUAAAGCACUUUCAGUGAGGAAGAACGCCUGGUGGUUAAUACCCAUCAGGAAAGACAUCACUCACAGAAGAAGCACCGGCUAACUCCGUGCCAGCAGCCGCGGUAAUACGGAGGGUGCGAGCGUUAAUCGGAAUUACUGGGCGUAAAGCGCGCGUAGGUGGCUUGAUAAGCCGGUUGUGAAAGCCCCGGGCUCAACCUGGGAACGGCAUCCGGAACUGUCAAGCUAGAGUGCAGGAGAGGAAGGUAGAAUUCCCGGUGUAGCGGUGAAAUGCGUAGAGAUCGGGAGGAAUACCAGUGGCGAAGGCGGCCUUCUGGACUGACACUGACACUGAGGUGCGAAAGCGUGGGUAGGAAACAGGAUUAGAUACCCGUGUAGUC
rnacentral:rRNA from 1 species